UACGGAGGGGGCUAGCGUUGUUCGGAUUCAUUGGGCGUAAAGGGUGCGUAGGCGGCUUCCUAAGUUUGAUGUGAAAUCCUGGGGCUCAACCCUGGAACUGCAUUGAAUACUGGGAGGCUAGAGUACUGGAGAGGAAACUGGAAUUUACGGUGUAGCAGUGAAAUGCGUAGAUAUCGGUAGGAACACCAGUGGCGAAGGCGGUCUCCUGGGGCAUUCUUGACGCUGAGGAGCGAAAGCGUGGGGAGCGAACAGG
rnacentral:rRNA from 1 species